rfam:Stegodyphus mimosarum contig27852, whole genome shotgun sequence.
GCCUUCGUGGUGUAGUGGUCAGCACACUCGAUGCAUAACCGAGAGGUAAGUGGUUCGAUUCCCGGCAAAGGCG